CCUUAUGCUUAGGGCUACACACGUGCUACAAUGGGUAGUACAGAGGGUUGCCAAGCCGUAAGGUGGAGCUAAUCCCUUAAAGCUACUCUCAGUUCGGAUUGUAGGCUGAAACUCGCCUACAUGAAGCUGGAGUUACUAGUAAUCGCAGAUCAGAAUGCUGCGGUGAAUGCGUUCCCGGGUCUUGUACACACCGCCCGUCACACCACGGGAGUUGGAGACGCCCGAAGCCGAUUAUCUAACCU
rnacentral:rRNA from 1 species